UACGUAGGAUGCAAGCGUUGUCCGGAAUUAUUGGGCGUAAAGAGCGCGCAGGUGGUCUAUCAAGUCAGAUGUGAAAUAUCCAGGCUUAACCUGGAGGGGUCAUUUGAAACUGGUAGACUAGAGUACAGCAGAGGAUAGUGGAAUUCCCGGUGUAGUGGUGAAAUGCGUAGAUAUCGGGAGGAACACCAGUGGCGAAGGCGACUAUCUGGGCUGAAACUGACGCUGAGGCGCGAAGGCUAGGGGAGCAAACAGG
rnacentral:rRNA from 1 species